rnacentral:lncRNA from 13 species
CCUGAGGACUUCCCUGAGAUGGAGAUCUUGUGGCAGCUGACCUGCGCCUGGAACACAGGCAUCCUGCUUUACAGCCUGGCCGAGUACCCUGAGGGGUGGUGUGGCCUGGACAUGAGCUUCCUCUGCCGCCUGGGCUCCCUGCAGGAGAGCUACCAGACACAGAUAUCAGAUCUGUACACAGGUCCUGGAUAGUCUGGACAAAGCCAAGAAGAACCUCAUCUUGGAGUAGUGAUUUGAGCUGGUAGAGCUUUGCAGAGCUCUUUUACUGUCUGGCACCUGAUAUUAUUCAUGUGGUAGCUGGGAUGGUAGUUUAUUAUAUGAUGUCUCACUGGUAUGACUGGUCUCCAGUUUAGUCAGCUCCUCCAGGAUGUCAGUUGCAUCCUGUCCUCCCCCAAUAUUUCCCUCACUUUCACUAUGGAGAGUUCAGAUAACCGUUUCUAGUUAAUGUUUUGGUACUUCUGCACACGAAUGGACUUUAUUUUAGCCUCUUGCAUAUAUUACAUUCAUAUGAAUUUUACAUGUAAAAAUGUAAUUUGUCUUAAUUAAACAAAUCAUCUUAAACUGCCAAUACCAGUGGACUCAAAUAAAACACAUCAAAAUCAUAUAACCGAGUCACAUAUUUUAUUAUUUUCAAACAAAUAAACUCUUGUCCAGUCCAAAACAAAACCCCAAACAAAAUAGGUUGCAGGACUGUUCGGUCCAGCGUCCUGAUAGGCUCUACCACCUGUAGUGUGACAGGAAGGAAAGUACUGUACAAUCAAAGGGUUCGCAAGCACUUACUGCACAGGUGCGCUGUCAAACAACUCAUCACCCAGAAGGACAAACCAUAACCCGACCGACCCCACCCCCCCCAGAGCUCAUGUCUCUCUCACUGGAAAAAAUACCCUCAUCAAUUAUACAAACACAAGAGGCAUUUCGGUUCAAUCUUGUUCUACCGCAAUAGAAAUAAUACAAUUAAAUCUAGUUCUUUGGGCUUUAUUGACAUGGCUGACCGAGAGGUAUAAAUACCAGACGUUAACAGUCUGGUGUUUAGUUGAAACACAGCUGAGGAGCAGUUCUAAAUGAGAAUGAUCAAUGCACCUCAUGGUUUCUGGAAUAUCACCUUGUAGGUUGCUGCCUGUGUCUCUUCAUUUUUUUUACAUAAUUGUUUAAUUCUAUACACCCAGACACCAUUUUCCACAAGAAAUAACAUGUAGACAGGCCCUACUUGAGGGAAUUACAUUCCCAACUGACAAACAUUUUUCCAAUAGGCAGCUGAAGAUUUGUCUAUAGAGAAAUACCAACAUUACAGCACAUUUGUAUGGAAAUUAUAUCUCAGAAUAGCUCAGUUUACUUACCUGACAUUUGUGAUCUAGAAAACAUGUUUUGCCCCAGUUUGUUUCACACAUGCAUGAAGCACAGGUGAGGGGGAUCUGCUGGGGGCAUAUUUACAUUUGACAGCUACCA